GAGCACCGCUCAGCCCGGUUUCUACACAGCCCACAGGGACAGCUGAGGCCUCUGGGGUAAGGGGCAGAAGUGAGUCCUUGUGGGACGGGAGGGGACAUAAAUAGGCUCCUUGCCUCCCCUCAGGUCUGGACCCAGGUCCCUAGCUCGUCGCAGAAGGAGCCUUAACUCUGCACCCCCACAUCCAUGCUCUGGGAGGCAAGGCUGCCCUGGGAGCCAGCCCAGCCCUCUGGCUGGCUCUCUCUUCAGCUCAAGUGCAAAGUCUGCCACGUAAGCUGUGAGCCAACCCUACAAAGAGGAACUGAGACAGCUGGUCUAAGCUGCAUUGCCGCGGCCCCUUCAGAGGAAACUCAAAGGAACAGUCACACCUGCCUCCCGAGAUGCCUGCAGGUCUACUGACUGGGGAAGCCUGACCCUGGCAAAGACUGAAGAGGGUCAUGAUCUUUGCCAGCUGCAGACAGUUUAAUCCAGGGAACUCUGAGAAGGAAUAACUGCCAGGACCCUGAGAGGGCCUGCAGAGGCUGCUGCUGCCCACCGCUGCUGCUGGUUCAUCCUGCUGCUGUGGUUGCUAUUGCUGGUUUGCUGGCCUGCCAGACUGCCGGAUAUCCUCGCCACAAAGAUUGGACUUUCCCCCCAGGAACUACUUCCCUAAACAGCAGAGAGCAGUAAAGAGACAAACGCUGCCCCUGUCCCUUCUAACCUUUUUCUCCUACCUAGUGUUGGGGUUUGGAAGGUAUUGGGGUAGUUAAGAGUCGGAAGGGAUUGACCAUCUUACCCUAGAAUCUCCUUCUUGUUUGGCUUCUUUAGGUGUAUAAAUUUUAGUAUAUUUAUCCUGUCUUAUAUAUAGGUCUAGAAUCUACUUAUAAGUGUUUACCAUGUGUAUCUUUCUGCUUCUGGGAUACCUCACUCAGGAUGAUAUUUUCUAGAUCCCACCAUUUGCCUGCAAAUUUCAUGAUUUCCUUGUUUUUAAUUGCUGAGUAAUAUUCCAUUGUGUAAAUGUACCACAGUUUCUGUAUCCAUUCUUCAGUUGAGGGGCAUCUGGGUUGUUUCCAGAUUCUGGCUAUUACAAAUAAAGCUGCUAUGAACAUGGUUGAACAAA